rnacentral:rRNA from 1 species
GAUGAACGCUGGCGGCGUGCCUAAUACAUGCAAGUCGAGCGAAUGGAUUAAGAGCUUGCUCUUAUGAAGUUAGCGGCGGACGGGUGAGUAACACGUGGGUAACCUGCCCAUAAGACUGGGAUAACUCCGGGAAACCGUGGCUAAUACCGGAUAACAUUUUGAACCGCAUGGUUCGAAAUUGAAAGGCGGCUUCGGCUGUCACUUAUGGAUGGACCCGCGUCGCAUUAGCUAGUUGGUGAGGUAACGGCUCACCAAGGCAACGAUGCGUAGCCGACCUGAGAGGGUGAUCGGCCACACUGGGACUGAAACAAGGCCCAGACUCCUACGGGAGGCAGCAGUAGGGAAUCUUCCGCAAUGGACGAAAGUCUGACGGAGCAACGCCGCGUGAGUGAUGAAGGCUUUCGGGUCGUAAAACUCUGUUGUUAGGGAAGAACAAGUGCUAGUUGAAUAAGCUGACACCUUGACGGUACCUAACCAGAAAGCCACGGCUAACUACGUGCCAGCAGCCGCGGUAA